UACGAAGGGGGCUAGCGUUGCUCGGAAUCACUGGGCGUAAAGGGUGCGUAGGCGGGUCUUUAAGUCAGGGGUGAAAUCCUGGAGCUCAACUCCAGAACUGCCUUUGAUACUGAAGAUCUUGAGUUCGGGAGAGGUGAGUGGGAACUGCGAGUGUAGAGGGUGAAAUUCGUAGAUAUUCGCAAGAACACCAGUGGCGAAGGCGGCUCACUGGCCCGAUACUGACGCUG
rnacentral:rRNA from 1 species